GUCUAUGGCCAUACCACCUUGGACACACCCCUGUCUCAGAAGCUAAGCAGGGUUGAGCCUACUUAGUGCUUGGAUGGGAGACAGCCUGGGAAUACCCAGUGUUGUAGGCU
ensembl:rRNA 5S_rRNA 5S ribosomal RNA